AGCUAAAUGACCGAGUUUAGGUGAUAAAUUGUAAAUUUAUCCACGAGAGUUUUCUCUUUAGCUA
rnacentral:tRNA from 1 species